CUGUCCCACAGUUAUUUUCAAAGGGUAUUUGGUUAUUUUUCUAUGAACCUUAUUCUUAUACUACGCCGUUUUGACCCUAAUAUUAAGUAUUAUAACUACCCUUCACCCUUAGAAAUUUUCCCAACUCCCUCAUUCAAUUAAAUUCCGAAAUUUUCUCUAAGGUCCUCUCUAAAAUUUUCUCUCUAGAUAAAGGAAGAAGAAGCUAGGUUUCUUCAAGGUCAAGUCUCAUUUUUCAUCAUUGAUUCUAGGGUUUAGAAAAAGGUCUUAUGAAGUCUCACAACAUGCUUCAUGAAUGUGAAGUGCGCCACAUUAUAAAUAGGAAGCUACAAAGUAUUUAGUAAAAUCCAUUUUUUUUCAUUACUCAAAAUUUGUGGCAUAGAGUCUAUCUCUAUAAAGAAUCUAUCCGAAAUCGAGUUAGAUCCUUUUCCAUAUAUGGCCCCUCGAACACCUUAGAUGAGAAGGAAUGCGGAUGAAAAUGUGGAGCUAGAGGUUCCUGAAGUUCUCAUUAACCUUUUUUCCAAGCAAGCAACUCAUGUUGAAUUAAGAGUCCUUUUACAAGUGUUGUCUCAAGCGAUGAUGGCCCAAAUUAAUAUAAAGCCAUUUAAUUCUCUCGGGAACCCAAAUAAGGGUACGACGACAAAAGUAUAAGGGACUUCACAAGGAUGAAUCCAUUGAAAUUCUUGGUUCGAAGGUGGACGAGGAUACUAAAGAAUUCAUUGAUGAGGUGUACAAGAUUAGGUACUAUGUGAUGGACUACGAUUGAGAAGGCAAAGUUGGGCUCUUAUCAACUCAAGGGUGUUGCUCAAUUGCGUUAUGAACAAUGGAAAAGCGAGAGAGUGAUUUAUAUGGGUCCUCUUGAUCGAGGGAAGUUUAAGGGUGUUUUUCUUGAUCGUUUCUUUCAUCUUGAAAUGAUAGAAUAAAAAGUGUUUGAGUU